UGGGGAAUAUUGCACAAUGGGGGAAACCCUGAUGCAGCGACGCCGCGUGAGCGAAGAAGGUUUUCGAAUCGUAAAGCUCUGUCCUAUGGGAAGAUAAUGACGGUACCAUAGGAGGAAGCCCCGGCUAACUACGUGCCAGCAGCCGCGGUAAUACGUAGGGGGCAAGCGUUGUCCGGAAUCACUGGGCGUAAAGGGUUCGCAGGCGGAAAUGCAAGUCAGUUGUGAAAGGCAGAGGCUCAACCUCUGUAAGCAAUUGAAACUGUAUUUCUUGGGAUGUGGAGAGGGAAGUGGAAUUAAUAGUGUAGCGGUGAAAUGCGUAGAUAUUAGGAAGAAUACCGGGAGAGAAAGCGGCUUGCUGGAAACAAACAGACGCUGAGGAACGAAAGCGUGGGUAGCAAACAGG
rnacentral:rRNA from 1 species